UACGGGAGGGGGCAAGCGUUAUUCGGAAUCAUUGGGCGUAAAGGGCGCGUAGGCGGCUUGGCAAGUCAAAGGUGAAAUCCCUCGGCCCAACCGAGGAACUGCCUUUGAUACUGCUUGGCUCGAGGCCGGGAGAGGGUAGCGGAAUUCCCAGUGUAGCGGUGAAAUGCGUAGAUAUUGGGAGGAACACCAGUGGCGAAGGCGGCUACCUGGACCGGUUCUGACGCUGAUGCGCGAAAGCGUGGGGAGCAAACAGG
rnacentral:rRNA from 1 species